rnacentral:rRNA from 1 species
GGUAACCUGCCUGUAAGACUGGGAUAACUCCGGGAAACCGGGGCUAAUACCGGAUGGUUGUCUGAACCGCAUGGUUCAGACAUAAAAGGUGGCUUCGGCUACCACUUACAGAUGGACCCGCGGCGCAUUAGCUAGUUGGUGAGGUAACGGCUCACCAAGGCGACGAUGCGUAGCCGACCUGAGAGGGUGAUCGGCCACACUGGGACUGAGACACGGCCCAGACUCCUACGGGAGGCAGCAGUAGGGAAUCUUCCGCAAUGGACGAAAGUCUGACGGAGCAACGCCGCGUGAGUGAUGAAGGUUUUCGGAUCGUAAAGCUCUGUUGUUAGGGAAGAACAAGUGCCGUUCAAAUAGGGCGGCACCUUGACGGUACCUAACCAGAAAGCCACGGCUAACUACGUGCCAGCAGCCGCGGUAAUACGUAGGUGGCAAGCGUUGUCCGGAAUUAUUGGGCGUAAAGGGCUCGCAGGCGGUUUCUUAAGUCUGAUGUGAAAGCCCCCGGCUCAACCGGGGAGGGUCAUUGGAAACUGGGGAACUUGAGUGCAGAAGAGGAGAGUGGAAUUCCACGUGUAGCGGUGAAAUGCGUAGAGAUGUGGAGGAACACCAGUGGCGAAGGCGACUCUCUGGUCUGUAACUGACGCUGAGGAGCGAAAGCGUGGGGAGCGAACAGGAUUAGAUACCCUGGUAGUCCACGCCGUAAACGAUGAGUGCUAAGUGUUAGGGGGUUUCCGCCCCUUAGUGCUGCAGCUAACGCAUUAAGCACUCCGCCUGGGGAGUACGGUCGCAAGACUGAAACUCAAAGGAAUUGACGGGGGCCCGCACAAGCGGUGGAGCAUGUGGUUUAAUUCGAAGCAACGCGAAGAACCUUACCAGGUCUUGACAUCCUCUGACAAUCCUAGAGAUAGGACGUCCCCUUCGGGGGCAGAGUGACAGGUGGUGCAUGGUUGUCGUCAGCUCGUGUCGUGAGAUGUUGGGUUAAGUCCCGCAACGAGCGCAACCCUUGAUCUUAGUUGCCAGCAUUCAGUUGGGCACUCUAAGGUGACUGCCGGUGACAAACCGGAGGAAGGUGGGGAUGACGUCAAAUCAUCAUGCCCCUUAUGACCUGGGCUACACACGUGCUACAAUGGACAGAACAAAGGGCAGCGAAACCGCGAGGUUAAGCCAAUCCCACAAAUCUGUUCUCAGUUCGGAUCGCAGUCUGCAACUCGACUGCGUGAAGCUGGAAUCGCUA